rnacentral:lncRNA from 1 species
GUACAGGUAAACCUCGAUAUAACAAAGUACUUAACUUUUCAUAACCUCUUGUCCAUAGAAUACCAUGUACUUCUAACCUCAAUAUAACAAACUGUGCUUUUACACAUCUUCAAUAUAACA